rnacentral:rRNA from 1 species
AUACGGAGGGUGCAAGCGUUACUCGGAAUCACUGGGCGUAAAGCGCGCGCAGGCGGCUAUUUAAGUUGGAUGUGAAAGCCUAUGGCUCAACCAUAGAACUGCAUCCAAAACUAUUUAGCUAGAGUGUGGGAGAGGAAGAUGGAAUUAGUUGUGUAGGGGUAAAAUCCGUAGAGAUAACUAGGAAUACCAAAAGCGAAGGCAAUCUUCUGGAACACUUCUGACGCUGAGGCGCGAAAGCUGGGGUAGCGAAUCGGAUUAGAUACCCGAGUAGUCC